rnacentral:misc_RNA from 1 species
AAAACCUCAGCUCCCCUAUUUCUCUCUUCGGAGAAAAAGAAGGAAGUUGGAUUUGAGCAUUUCCACUCUUGACCAAUUUUUUUUUUUUUUUGGUGUAGAGGGGCGGAUUGCUUGAAAUUGAGGUUCGGCCGGACGGUUAAUUCCCUGGGCUACAAGCAUUUCAUACUUAAUCCCGUUAAACGGAUUAUUUCCUUUGCUGCAGCCAACUAAACAGGUAAUCGUCAGUGUCUGACUGAUGCAGGAAAAGUUGAGGAGGAUUUCGGUCCGCACUCUCUUUUAA